AAACUGCGAAUGGCUCAUUAAAUCAGUUAUAGUUUAUUUGAUAGUACCUUACUACUUGGAUAACCGUGGUAAUUCUAGAGCUAAUACAUGCAACAAAAUCCCGACUUCUGGAAGGGAUGUAUUUAUUAGAUAAAAAACCAACCCCUCGUGGUUCUUUGGUGAUUCAUAGUAACUUCUCGAAUCGCAUUGCUUUACGCAGGCGAUGGUUCAUUCAAAUUUCUGCCCUAUCAACUAUCGAUGGUAGGAUAGAGGCCUACCAUGGUUAUAACGGGUAACGGGGAAUAAGGGUUCGAUUCCGGAGAGGGAGCCUUAAAAACGGCUACCACAUCUAAGGAAGGCAGCAGGCGCGCAAAUUACCCAAUCCCGACACGGGGAGGUAGUGACAAUAAAUAACAAUCCAGGGCCUAUGGUCUUGGAAUUGGAAUGAGAACAAUUUAAAUCCCUUAACGAUUAACAAUUGGAGGGCAAGUCUGGUGCCAGCAGCCGCGGUAAUUCCAGCUCCAAUAGCGUAUAUUAAAGUUGUUGCAGUUAAAAAGCUCGUAGUUGAAUUUUGGGCUGGGUUGGAUGGUCUCGCUGCAAGGUGAGCACUGUUCGGCCUGGCCUCUCCUUCUGGAAAACUAUCGUGCUCUUAACUGAGUGCGGUAGGGAUCCAGGACUUUUACUUUGAAAAAAUUAGAGUGUUCAAAGCAGGCUUACGCCUGAAUACAUUAGCAUGGAAUAAUAGAAUAGGACUUUGGUUCUAUUUUGUUGGUUUCUAGGACCAGAGUAAUGAUUAAUAGGGAUAGUUGGGGGCAUUAGUAUUUAAUUGUCAGAGGUGAAAUUCUUGGAUUUAUGAAAGACUAACUUCUGCGAAAGCAUUUGCCAAGGAUGUUUUCAUUAAUCAAGAACGAAAGUUAGGGGAUCGAAGACGAUCAGAUACCGUCGUAGUC
rnacentral:rRNA from 1 species